CUUCUAGCGGGACAAGAGGGUUCUCCCGAAAUGACAAAAAAUGGGCCAAGGGGAGACUGGUUUAGACUGAUAUUUAUUUAUAUAUUUAUUUAUAUUACAAUCGCGAUUUUAUAAUGAUAGAACGCCGGUUCUAAAUGGGUGAAGUAUCCCUUUAAGCAUCUCCUCAGCGCCCAAGAGGGUUGAGGCUGAAGCUGCAGAUAUAGACACAACACGUAUACACCUACACCCGUACGGUCAAACAUGUAGGCCUACAUCGGUCUGGGCUGGCAGCUCUAACACUAAGGAUGUUUUUUAGGUAUUUUGAACUUUAAUCGUGAUUAACAAAGAAAAAUUGAUUUAAACUUAAAAGUGAGAGAAAAAAUAAACUGUUUUUUAAGUGAAUCAUUAAGUUCUGAAUCACAAACAUGACCUGCUAUGUGAACCGUUCGCCAAAGGUUGAUUCUGCACAGUGUCAACGAACCCGAUCCUCCAUCCCCUGCACACACUCUAAUUAACGACGAUACUCCUACAUAUAUCAUAUUAACUAUUAUUACUAAUGAACCACUGGUUCCCUCCCAGAGGACCACAGUGUUCUCACACUGCCUGGGUGUUUCAGUAUUCUGUCCGUCUGACUGUCCAAAUCAGCCAUGGGGACACAUGAUGACGUGACACAUCUCCUAUACUCUCUCCAUCCAACACAUUAGCCUGGGGAAACAUGAUGACGUGACACAUCUCCUACUCUCCAUCCAACACAUUAGCCUGGGGACACAUGAUGACGUGACACAUCUCCUAUACUCUCCAUCCAACACAUUAGCCUGGGGACACAUGAUGACGUGACACACCUUACUCUCCAUCCAACACAUUAGCCUGGGGACACAUGAUGAUGUGACACACCUUACUCUCCAUCCAACACAUCAGUCUGGGGACACAUGAUGAUGUGAAACAUCUCUUAUACUCUCCAACAUGAUUCAGAGCCUGCUGCUCUUCUUCAGGGGUGACACAUGAUGACAUGACACACAUCUGUUACUCGCCGCCCAGUCAUUUGAACUAGUGAAUAGCGAACUAGUGAAGUGGACUCAUCAUGUGUUAGCUUCACUGACGUCUCCCUGAUGUGAACACACUAUCACCACAUAUCAUGUGUUAACAACGUAUAUAGAUCUAGAGAUAAAUAGUCAUUUUUAAAAGAUAAUAGAUAAUAAACUCUGGCUCUGACUUUAGAAGACAUCUUGACAUUAUUUGAUGUAUUAUGCAUGUGGGUCGAUUAUGAGACAAUAUCUACUUACAUUAUAGUACGUGUGUCUCUCUGUGUGUGUGUGUGUGUGUGUGUGUGUGUGUGUGUGUGUGUGUGUGUGUGUGUGUGUGUGUGUGUGUGUGUGUGUGUGUGUGUGUGUGUGUGUGUGUGUGUGUGUGUGUGUACAGACAUGCAGGUUGGUCUGAGUCUGUCCUCCUCACGGCCCACCAGAUAAGGUGCAGUUAUGAUUUGGGCUGAACAUAUUUACAGAGGUCAUGUUUACAGGAGCACCAGUGAAGUGUGAGCGGGGGGAGGGGUGAUGGACGGCAGAUAAGGAUGGAGCCAUGAUUGGCAGUGCGUCAGUAAACCUGUCCAACACGAUGUGACUCACUGACCCCAGGACUGGGAGGCCUGGGUGAACAGCCUGUUUUUGAUCCUUAAUCUCCAGCCAUGAACUCACUGAGCAGAACAAAACAACUCACUGGUUAUUAACGUAUUGCUUCAAGAUUAUCAAUACAAAUGGG
ensembl:lncRNA